CGAACGGGUGAGUAACACGUGGGUGAUCUGCCCUGCACUUCGGGAUAAGCCUGGGAAACUGGGUCUAAUACCGGAUAUGACCUCAUAUCGCAUGAUGGGUGGUGGAAAGAUUUAUCGGUGCAGGAUGGGCCCGCGGCCUAUCAGCUUGUUGGUGGGGUAAUGGCCUACCAAGGCGACGACGGGUAGCCGACCUGAGAGGGUGACCGGCCACACUGGGACUGAGACACGGCCCAGACUCCUACGGGAGGCAGCAGUGGGGAAUAUUGCACAAUGGGCGAAAGCCUGAUGCAGCGACGCCGCGUGAGGGAUGACGGCCUUCGGGUUGUAAACCUCUUUCAGCAGGGACGAAGCGCAAGUGACGGUACCUGCAGAAGAAGCACCGGCUAACUACGUGCCAGCAGCCGCGGUAAUACGUAGGGUGCAAGCGUUGUCCGGAAUUACUGGGCGUAAAGAGUUCGUAGGCGGUUUGUCGCGUCGUUUGUGAAAACCAGCAGCUCAACUGCUGGCUUGCAGGCGAUACGGGCAGACUUGAGUACUGCAGGGGAGACUGGAAUUCCUGGUGUAGCGGUGAAAUGCGCAGAUAUCAGGAGGAACACCGGUGGCGAAGGCGGGUCUCUGGGCAGUAACUGACGC
rnacentral:rRNA from 1 species